rnacentral:misc_RNA from 1 species
AGCUAUGAGUUGUUGUGAUAAGAACAGUAGGUGCCGGCCUGAACUUUCUUCAGAGGUGUGGAAGGUGCUUGAACCAAUGAGAGCUUCAUGUGGGGCAUCAUCUUUUAGAAUAGAUUCCGAAGAGCAUUGUGACAUCCCAUCCUAUUUUAUUUGUCCCAUAUUUCAGGAAAUCAUGCAAGAUCCUGUAGUAGCAGCAGAUGGCUUCACAUAUGAAGCAGAAGCAUUAAGAGGAUGGUUGGAUAGCGGGCAUGAGACCUCCCCCAUGACAAACCUCACGCUGUCCCAUAAGAACCUUGUUCCUAACCAUGCUCUCCGUUCUGCAAUUCAGGAGUGGCUGCAACAGAAUUGACAGAAGUUUUCGAGCUCUAUGUAAUUAUCUCAUUAUAUCCCUUCUUUUUUACCUUAGUUUUCGACAGAUGUUGAUCUCUAGUUCUAUUGUAAAUCAAUACUCCAAAAAACAUGUUUAGAUAAAAAUAGCAUAAACUGAACUGAAGUCUGAGCAUGGACAAAGUGGUUUGAUAAACAUACAAGAAAUAGAACAGGUGGAGACUUGUUUUAUGUAAAUUUGCUCUAAGGU